GAGUUAGGCUGGCAAACUCAUCAAUCAGCUCUCUUCUCCUGCUUAUAGAAGGUGCAGUGCCGUGACCACCGUGGUCGCAUCGAGGCCACAGACCUUGAGAAGCCAUGACCGGAGGUCCUCUGAGGUUGCUUCCACAAGCCAGGUCUCAGGGACGCCUAGGGCCACUCAGGAAAGCCACGUGAAUGUUGUCAUGGAGACGGCCAAGAGGACCUGCAGCGGCUUCGAAUGAGGCUUAUACACAGAAAGAAGAACAAGUCACCCCAGAAAGCCAGUGACGUCAGAGGUUUGCUCCCUCUGACACCCAGGCGCCAGACGUGUGGGGCACCACCAUCUGGAGCGGAGUGGGCGGCCCUAACCCGGCGGAGACCUGAAAAUCGCCGGGAUGGAGUGACCUAGGGGGCGACUCUCCAGGAACAUCCCACAAAUGAGGGCAGGGCUUCCCCUGAAGACAGAUGUCACUGGGCAGGAACAAAGGGCCUGGAGGAACCACAGACUUGAUGCAAGAUGCUCCAGCGUCUUGCCAUGAGACGCGAAGAUUUCUGGGUUAAUCGUGGCCAGGAGUCAGCAGCAAGCCGCCUCGGAACUAGUGGCGAGAACACAGCGCGGCCGGAACCUGGCGGGGCCUCCUGUGUGCCUGGGCCCUGCACGCUUGUCCUCCAGCCCCUGGCAGGCGGGGGGUGGCCUGCCCUUCUUGACAGAAGAAUAGAGGGAUUCUAAGAAUGAGCCCCAGACCUCCACCCUGGCACGCAUUUGAAGCAUUUGCUCCCCCCGGUGUUGGGAAGGACCGGCGGGCCAGGUGGAGAAGGUCCUUGAGUGAACAUGUCCGAAUGUGUUGACAGGUCCCCUGCCGCUCAGGCGGUGAGACUGACCGGAGUGGAUCCUGAGGGUUGGGUUUCUGUGCCAGCAUCUGUCACCUUGUUCCCCCUAAACCACACCGGAGCAGAGAGAGAUGCACAUCUGCAGAAUCGCAACUCACUUCACUUGGUGUGGAUUUAAAGAGAGAACAUCACGUAAAACUUGAAAGGAAAAGAAAGGAAGUUAGGACAAGCAUAAUGAAGGCAGGUGUGGGGUGCCUGGGUGCUCAAUCGCUUGAGUCUCCAACUCUUGGUUCAGCUCAGCU